AGCAGAGCCGUGCGUUAUGCAGAUGAACGCGACCCGGUUCCUGUGGAGCUCUCACCUCUGCUCGGUGCACCACUACCAGAACACGCCAUCAUUUGUCGUGGCCGGAGUUGUGGGAAUCCUGGUUAUCCUCUUUUAUGCUGGUGCUGGCACCAUCAUCACACCACUGAACACCGAACUAGUCCAACCCAAACGACUGUUAAGGCGACGAUCACGUUACGGCUCUGCAUCGCCUGGCAACUGCUCCCCACGAGCCGUGCGAUCGUGACGCGCAUUUUUGCAGUCUUCGCACUUGUUAUGCUGUCCCUGUUAUGCACACCCAGUGAUAUGUUAUGCUCAGUUAUUUAGGUUGUAUUUAUUGCUUUAUGUCGCCCCAUUUAUAGAUGCGCAUCUGCUCCAAGCAGGAUGAGAAGUUUUAGAUAGGGUAUAUAUACAUUAAGGUACACUCAAUGUGUUUACGGUAUGUUACUUUUUCUACUAGUUUUUAAUGUUGCACAA
rnacentral:lncRNA from 1 species